CGGCUGGCGCGGUCAGGUUGUCUCUUGAUCGCCGCACGUAGUCGCAGUCAUCCACAGUCAUCGAAAUCUCAGCGCCAGUGACUGCGGAGAGGAGGGUGAGGCAGCGGGAGCCAGUUCGAAGUCAGAACGCAAGAUGAGCAGUAUAAAUAUGUACACCCUUCUGAUCGCCGCAUUCGUCGCCACUUUCAUCACGGUGGAUUCCUAUGAACUAAUAGCCAAAGAAGUACAUAUUGUCAAGCCCAACUUGCCACCCAGGAAGAAAUUAACCGGGC